AUUGAACGCUGGCGGCAGGCCUAACACAUGCAAGUCGAGCGGAUGAAGGGAGCUUGCUCCUGGAUUCAGCGGCGGACGGGUGAGUAAUGCCUAGGAAUCUGCCUGGUAGUGGGGGAUAACGUCCGGAAACGGGCGCUAAUACCGCAUACGUCCUGAGGGAGAAAGUGGGGGAUCUUCGGACAUCACGCUAUCAGAUGAGCCUAGGUCGGAUUAGCUAGUUGGUGGGGUAAAGGCCUACCAAGGCGACGAUCCGUAACUGGUCUGAGAGGAUGAUCAGUCACACUGGAACUGAGACACGGUCCAGACUCCUACGGGAGGCAGCAGUGGGGAAUAUUGGACGAUGGGCGAAAGCCUGAUCCAGCCAUGCCGCGUGUGUGAAGAAGGUCUUCGGAUUGUAAAGCACUUUAAGUUGGGAGGAAGGGCAGUAAGUUAAUACCUUGCUGUUUUGACGGUACCAACAGAGUAAGCACCGGCUAACUUCGUG
rnacentral:rRNA from 1 species